ACCUCGUUAGUGGAGCUAAGAAAGAAAAAAACAAAACAAAACAAACACAGUUUUAGGUCUGCUUCCCUGAAGUGAAACUAAAAGGUAAAGACGUCCGCGCGUUCGAGACGCCGCCGAUACGCGAGCAACGGCGACACAGGCGAGUGGAGAGGGUAAUUGCCUCAUACAGCUCUCCUCGACAACAACAAAGCUUCAUGCUGUUACCACGGCUGCGGCUUGAAAUUGCUCAAUCCAUUUGUCUGCUGAGCUCCUGUUUUGGAUCACUGCCACGCGUCUGCUGCAGCAGCCUCACCUUCAGGAAGGGGGACUCCUCC